GAUGAACGCUGGCGGCGUGCCUAAUACAUGCAAGUCGAGCGAACAGACGAGGAGCUUGCUCCUCUGACGUUAGCGGCGGACGGGUGAGUAACACGUGGAUAACCUACCUAUAAGACUGGGAUAACUUCGGGAAACCGGAGCUAAUACCGGAUAAUAUAUUGAACCGCAUGGUUCAAUAGUGAAAGACGGUUUUGCUGUCACUUAUAGAUGGAUCCGCGCCGCAUUAGCUAGUUGGUAAGGUAACGGCUUACCAAGGCAACGAUGCGUAGCCGACCUGAGAGGGUGGUCGGCCACACGGGAACUGGAACACGGUCCAUACUCCUAAGGGAGGCAGCAGUAGGGAAUCUUCCGCAAUGGGCGAGAGCCUGACGGAGCAACGCCGCGUGAGUGAUGAAGGUCUUCGGAUCGUAAAACUGUGUUAUUAGGGAAGAACAAAUGUGUAAGUAACAAUGCACGUCUUGACGGUACCUAAUCAGAAAGCCACGGCUAACUACGUG
rnacentral:rRNA from 1 species